rnacentral:rRNA from 1 species
GACGUAGGGCGCGAGCGUUGUCCGGAUUUAUUGGGCGUAAAGAGCUCGUAGGCGGCUUGUCGCGUCGUCCGUGAAAACUCACAGCUCAACUGUGAGCUUGCGGUCGAUACGGGCAGGCUUGAGUUCGGUAGGGGAGACUGGAAUUCCUGGUGUAGCGGUGAAAUGCGCAGAUAUCAGGAGGAACACCGGUGGCGAAGGCGGAUCUCUGGGCCGAUACUGACGCUGAGGAGCGAAAGCGUGGGGAGCGAACAGG